rnacentral:rRNA from 1 species
GACGAACGCUGGCGGCGUGCUUAACACAUGCAAGUCGAACGGAAAGGCCCUGCUUUUGUGGGGUGCUCGAGUGGCGAACGGGGGAGUAACACGUGAGUAACCUGCCCUUGACCUUGGGAUAACUUCAGGAAACUGGGGCUAAUACCGGAUAGGAGCUCCUGCUGCAUGGUGGGGGUUGGAAAGUUUCGGCUGUUGGGGAUGGACUCGCGGCUUAUCAGCUUGUUGGUGGGGUAGUGGCUUACCAAGGCUUUGACGGGUAGCCGGCCUGAGAGGGUGACCGGCCACAUUGGGACUGAGAUACGGCCCAGACUCCUACGGGAGGCAGCAGUGGGGAAUAUUGCACAAUGGGCGGAAGCCUGAUGCAGCAACGCCGCGUGCGGGAUGACGGCCUUCGGGUUGUAAACCGCUUUCGCCUGUGACGAAGCGUGAGUGACGGUAAUGGGUAAAGAAGCACCGGCUAACUACGUG